rnacentral:sRNA from 1 species
UGAGAAUAUAAAAUCCAGAACGCCUAAUUUAUAUCAUAGUUUCAUUUACUUUACAUCUGUAAAAAAGAAUGGUCACGUUUAAUUAGGAAUCUACUGUAAAGAUUUAUUGUCAGAGGUGUAAUUCUGCAUGAAAGAUCUCCAUUGUAAAAUCUGUACCCAAGUUUUCUUGUGUGUAUUUAGAUUGUGAUUCAUUAGAAACCAUCAGUGGUGAGAUUGUACCAUCUUGUGGUCGCCUGAACUGUUAACUUCAUCAUUAGUAUAUCAGUACAUCACUGCAAUCAGGGACUUGCCAAUCAAAGCAAACACGCUGGUUCCGCACAAGGCCAUGCCACUGUGUGGUAAAGUCUCAGGAACUCUGCUCAACGGUCUUAUUUAAUAUUGUACUUACACCAAUAAAUUAUUAACUAUU